CUUAAUAUGUGUUAUGAUGGGUAAUUCUUUAUUUCGGUUAUAAUGGUGAAUUCUGGAUAUAGGUUCUAAUGGGUAGUUCUUUAUUUGGGUUCCAUUAAUGAAUUCUUGAUACAAGUUCUAAUGGGAAAUUUUUAAUUUGUGUUCUAGUGGUAAAUUCUGAUUUGGGUUCUAAUGAUGAAUUCUUGAAGAAGAGGAUCCUCCAUGGCAAGAUUUCUGUGCGAAAUAGGUAUGGGAAACCCAGACGACCAAGGACAUGGCUAGCAAGGUGUUUGCAACAAUACAAGAUGUGUGUGUUCUUUUUUGGUCAAAUUCGGAUAUCGUUCCUUCCACUAUAAGUAAGUGUUUAGGUUUUUUUUCUUUCAUCAUGUACAUGUAAAAUGAAACUCAAUUUUCAUGUGUCAAUAAACUGUUCGUAAUUAUUUGUUCAAA